ensembl:lncRNA
CAGGACAUCCAGCUGAAGGAGAUAUGAGGCCCCUAGGACAUCCAGCUGAAGGAGAUAUGAGGCCCCCAGGACAUCCAGCUGAAGGAGAUAUGAGGCCCCCAGGACAUCCAGCUGAAGGAGAUAUGAGGCCCCCAGGACAUCAGGACAUCCAGCUGAAGGAGAUGUGGCCCCCAGGACAUCCAGCUGAAGGAGAUAUGAGGCCCCUAGGACAUCCAGCUGAAGGAGAUAUGAGGCCCCUAGGACAUCCAGCUGAAGGAGAUAUGAGGCCCCCAGGACAUCCAGCUGAAGGAGAUAUGAGGCCCCCAGGACAUCCAGCUGAAGGAGAUAUGAGGCCCCUAGGACAUCCAGUGAUCAACAGUCAUACGUUGAAGGGAACAUUAUAUCACUGUAACCCCUGUAGUAAAACAAAACAGGAGUUUAUGAUCUAUGCAUAGCCACUUUACCCCUACCUACAUGUACAAGUCCAUGCUAGGUAAAGCUCCGCCUUAUCUCAGUUCACUGUUCACGAUGGCAACACCCACCCAUAGCACGCGCUCCAGCAGGUGUAUCUCACUGAUCAUCCCUAAAGCCAACACCUCAUUUGGCCACCUUUCGUUCCAGUUCUCUGCUGCCUGUGACUGGAACGAAUUGCAAAAAUCGCUGAAGUUGGAGACUUUUAUCUCCCUCACCAACUUCAAACAUCUGCUAUCUGAGCAGCUAACCGAUCGCUGCAGCUGUACAUAGUCCAUGGUAAAUAGCCCACCCAAUUCACCUACCUCUUCCCCAUACUGUUUAUAUUUAUUUACUUUUCUGCUCUUUUGCACACCAAUAUCUCUACCUGUACAUGACCAUCUGAUCAUUUAUCACUCCAGUGUUAUUAAUCUGCAAAAUUGUAAUUAUUCGCCUACCUCCUCAUGCCUUUUGCACACAACGUAUAUAGACUCCCUUUUUUUUCUACUGUGUUAUUGACUUGUUAAUUGUUUACUCCAUGUGUAACUCUGUGUUGUCUGUUCAGACUGCUAUGCUUUAUCUUGGCCAGGUCGCAGUUGCAAAUGAGAACUUGUUCUCAACUAGCCUACCUGGUUAAAUAAAGGUGAAAUAAAAUAAAUUUAAAAAACAAAUUAACUCGACUAACCUGUACACCCGCACAUUGACUAUGUACCGGUAACCCCUCAUUACUAACCAGUACCCCUUGUAAAUAGCCUCAUUAUUGUUAUUUUAUUCUGUUACAUUUUUAGUAUUUAAUUUUUUACAACUUUUGUUUAUUUAUUAAAUAUUUUAACUAUAUUUCUUGAACUGCAUUGUUGGUUAAGGGCUUGUAAGUAGCAUUUCAUGGUUAGGUCUGCUACACCAGUUGUAUUCGGCAUUUCAUGGUUAGGUCUGCUACACCAGUUGUAUUCGGCAUUUCCUGGUUAGGUCUGCUACACCAGUUGUAUUCGGCAUUUCAUGGUUAGGUCUGCUACACCGGUUGUAUUGGGCAUUUCAUGGUUAGGUCUACUACACCGGUUGUAUUCGGCUCAUGUGACAUAACAUUUUAUUUGAUUUGUGUUACACACUCAAUGAUAACAUGCCAAACAAUAAUUCUCACUAAACCAGCACCCCAGGGUUCCUAAAAGUGUGACCCUCACAGCAGGGGUUGCGUUAUAGGUCAGGAAGUCCCCAAUCUGGUCCAUAAUCACUGUUGGAAGAAAUUCACAAGAGGUCAGUGCAUUCAAGGAAUAUCAAAAAUUAUAUAUUUAUUUGUUUUUGAAAAAGUGUACCCAUGUGCAGUAUCAUACCGGAGCGCCAAGUCAAGGUCCAAGAGGCUUCUAAACAGCUUCCAUCCCCAAACCAUGAGACUCCUGAACAUCUAGUCAGAUGGCUACCCAGACUAUUUGCAUUGCCCCCCCCAUCCUCCUCUUCCACGCUGCUGCUACUCUCUGUUAUUAUCUACGCAUAGUCAGUUUAAUAACUCUACUUAAAUGUACAUAUUACCUCAAUUACCUCGACACAGGUGCCCCCUGUACAUAGGGGGGAUGCGUCACUGCAAACUUUAAGGUCCUCAAUGAUGUCACCAUUGCCCUAGAUUCUAAGCAAUAUUGUGCUGCUAUUUUUAUUGACUUGGAAAAAGCUUUUGAUACGGUAGACCAUUCCAUUCUUGUGGGCCGGCUAAGGAGUAUUGGUGUCUCUGAGGGGUCUUUGGCCUGGUUUGCUAACUAUCUCUCUCAAAGAGUACAGUGUAUAAAGUCAGAACAUCUGCUGUCUCAGCCACUGCCUGUCACCAAGGGUGUACCCCAAGGCUCGAUCCUAGGCCCCACGCUCUUCUCAAUUUACAUCAACAACAUAGCUCAGGCAGUAGGAAGCUCUCUC